GAAAAGGAGCCGGAGCAGUAGAGGCAGCCACGGAAAGAGAGACAGAGAGAGAGAGAGAGAGAGAGAGAGCGCGCACGCGAGCGAUGAUAAAUGAACAGCAGCUGUUGACGGAAAUUUGUACGAGCAUAAAUCUGCACAGAAGAGGCCGAGAGCAGGAAGAGCGAGAAGAAAGAUUUUAGUGAGCCUAACGCGGACAUCUUUCGCAGAGGCGCUGAGAGAGAGAGAGAGAAAGAGCGUGUGCGCGCGAAGUUGGGACAAGGAUGACAGUUUUACUGGGUCGUAAUUCAACCCCUGCUCACCGACAAUUUCAAAGAGAUCAAUUCAAGGCUGCAGCGUUGAAAAUUCCAUAAACGUUUUAAACUAAAAACUUCAUCUCUUUCAUGUUGAGUUCCUCCCUCCAUUCUUAUUCGACGCGUCCUCGCUCUUCUGAUCAAGAUUAAUUGAUGUAUAAAGUACUAACAAGUGUCUUUGACGUAUUCUCAAGCUUUUAUGGAUAAUUUGUUUCUUCUCUUUUCUGGCGUGGGUGGAAAGUAAACAGUAUACACCGCAUAUGGAAGAGUGUUGACGAGAUGAUUUUUCUCACUUUUUUGCCGGAAUCAUAAUUAAUAACUCAUUUUACGGACGACUCGAUGACAAACUAGACAGAAGAAGCAAAAAUGGGCGAUCAUUUAUAUAAGUAAGAAGAGGCGAGGCCUUCCCAAGUACUAUGUAGAAAAGUACAUCGUAUGGUGUCUGUCAGCUUCGGAAAAGCGUCUCAUUCGCGCCUAUCCUCUCUGGAAGAUUUUUCUAUCCACGCACAUUAUUAGCAUAUUUUCACAGUUGAAUUUUACACCACUUCCGAUUGUGAAAACAUGAAGGGCGGCACAAGUGCUCUUUGUUUUUACUCGCGCUUGUUCGGACUCGCUUGAAUAAUGGAUUCGAAUUCGUAUACUCGAGCGCGAGCUUCUUUUUUCCCUUUUUUCCAGAUGACUCGACACAAAUUUUCGAUUACCUCGUGGUUAUGAGUUUUAUGGCUUUGAAGAAAUGAAAAAAUUAUAAUUGCCACGAUGACUUUCAAGCCGUAAGCUUUAAAGAGCUUCCUUCUGUGUCUAUAUACGAAUAAACUUGAUCUUUCGACGGUGAACAUAUCCAUCGUAGGCGUAAUAAACUCAGCGGUUGAACGAUUCGAUUUUUUACUGCAAACAAUGUAAUGCAAGUAUAUAAGAAAUUAUAUAUCGAUGAUUGAUACGAGGGAAGAUGAUGAUGGCAAUGAGCCAGGAAAAUGAAAUGAAGUGGAAGGAAGGAUUCUCGCUCAGUCAUCAGCCACAGCAAGUAUAUAUGAAAACUGCAAGUCACGAAACAAGGAUGGCUAACAGCAGUACAGAAGUAUGCAACGCUGCUAUGCAGCCUGUCAAACUUUAUAAUUUUUCUCAAUCAUUGGGCUGAUGCUUUAAAACACACAUCGUUAAUGCGGGCGGUAUGAAGUCAAACGAUCGGCCGUUGAUCGCAACGGCAGCAAUCGACGGCAGCUGAAAAAGUAUAUAUACAAGAAGUUGAUUAAUUGCAUCAAGAACAAAUGAUCUUUCAAAUAUUAUUUGUGGGCGUAUAUCUUUCGAUCUCUACCUCUCUUUCUCGCUCUCGUGACUCUGGAUUUCAAAAGGAUACUCCGACGGACGAACCAAUUUUUUUUCGCCAGCUGUAACCGAUCUACCACGUGUAAUAUUUCACGUUCGCCAAUGUGCUUGUCACGAAUUUCAUUUUGAGCAAUAAUUUUUAUUUGACAAAGGUAUUCCAACUGAAGGUUUAAAAAAACUACGGAGCUAAUUUUUUAAGAAUAAAAAAACUUGUUGGUCGCUACUUGGAAUACUUGGGGAAAAGGAUGAAUAAAUUCCUGGACUUGCUGGCAAUCAUACAAAUUGAAAGUUUUUUGAAACUCAGCGUUAUAUAUGACGAAGAUUAAAAAGUAUGAGUAACUAUGAUCGAUACCCGACUAGUCGCAGGCCUCGGGUCAGCGCUCGCGGCGCUUUUAUUGAGCAAACAUGAAACUUUUGAAACAUCGCUCCGUCCAGAGGCAGGAAUUUAAUUUAUCUAAUUUGAAGUUUAUGCCUAGUGUUUUAGCUCGAAAAGGCACGGAUCAGCAUCGCGUUGGAUAUUGAAAAAGUAUUUAAAUACUUUCUUGGCGAUCAACUGGCUAAAGCAUUGCGAGGGUACAGCCAAGAUAUCCAUUUGACGAUCAAACUUCUUUCAUCUGCCGAAUCAGAAGACGAAGUUUUCACAGCUGUAAAAGCACUUUGGCGAUGAUACUACAAAAGGACACAAUAAAAAAAAAUCUGAUGCUUCGAAAGGCGUAUUCGGUAAAUGAAAAUCACAUUUGAUGGGUUAAUAUCGCACAGGAGAACUACGCUGCAAAGUUGGAUUCAUCCGAGUAAACAGUCCUUCCGUGAAUUUCCUGCUGGAGGCCGGAGAGGAAGAAAAUACAGAGGUCGUCGAGCGCUGCCGUGCGGAGGAUUGGAAAUCUCGUCUCAGCGGUCCGUCGGCCAACUGCGAGAAGAAUUAUGCAUUCGUCCCUUGCUCGCCGAGGCGAGCGCGAGCGACAAUUCAUCGGCAGCCGUCGCGACACA